GUUAUGUACAGAAAGCACACAUGGUCCAGUCUGCCCUGGCCACGUAGGAGGUGUGAGAGGUCACCACAUCCGGGUCACCAUAGUCUCUGGAGAGCUCCCCAACCAGUGACUCCUGGGGAGCCCAACAUAGACCUCAAGAGGGGCAGGGCCAUCUUUAUGGGAUCUGUACUAGGCACACGUGUCAAUCAGUCAGCCUUUGGUUUGUGGUCUCUGGUGCCUAACUUGAUUGCCUUCCCUUUGUCCCCCAGGGUCUGGAUGACUACGGGGCACGGUCUGUGAGCAGGUAAGAGGCUUCAGGCUUCUUUGGGACUGUGGGUGGGUAGCCACAGGUGUGGUUGGGGUAACCUCUCCCUUGGGGCCUGGCUUUUCUUACUCUGAGAACCGGAAGCUUGACCCUAAUCCUGCUACCAGAGUUGGACCCACCUGCCCGAACUGGGCUUCUGCUCUGCUCUUUUCUGAGUAUAGAGUGAGCCCCUUCUCCAUCCUGCUGGGUCUUGGUGUCUUGGCCUGCUCCGUUCGUCCCAGCAGGCAGGGCAGGGUUGGGGAGGGUUGUCAGCCCACCUCGAGGCCUUUGUCCCUAGAUCCAGGUAGGACCUCCCCAAGGGCUGCAGUGGCUGCCCGCUGAGCAGUCUUGUUCUGGGUUCAUCAUCGUCCCAGAGGCCAGGCAGCCUGGCUGCUGGCUGGCCAGGGCUCUGCCGGGUGGCGGGCGGGCCUGCUGCCCCUGGCCGGCAGUGGGCAUGCGUCUGGGCAGCUGUCCUGUGCUUUGUUCCACAGUGGCAGUGGCACGCUGGUGUCCACAGUGUGAGGACGCUGACCCCAGGCAGCUGCUCUGAAGAGCGCCCCCCAGUCUCCAUCGGUUUCCCUCCUCAGCUCUCGUUGGUUUGUUCUUGGGUUGUUUUCUUUCCCACCCGCUCCUGCCUUUUGGUUGGUGAUCCCAGACUCUGAAAUCCCCCAGGGUCCAUGGUGCUGCUCCCUGCGCCCCUGCGCUCACGCCCCCAGCAAGUGUCCCCAGCCUUGAGCAUUAACUGCCAGGUGGGGGCCUGCUGGCUGAGUGGCAAAGCAGCGUCCUCACCUGCUGCCCUAGCCCUGUGGUGUUCACGACACACAUCCCUUUUCUAAGGCUGGCCAUGAGCCAGGGCUAGAGUUUGAAGAAAAAAAAAAUCUUAAAAAAAGAAAAAAAAAAAAAAGAAAAAAGAAAAACAGGAAAAAGGACUAUUUUUUUUCCUAAAAACAAAAAACAGAUAUGCAUGGACUCCGGUGUACGUACUGUUAUUCUGCAUCACCCCCAGAGUGCUGGCGUCUUCUAGAACAGGACAGGACUUAGGGUCCUGGGGGGGAUCAAGCCCAGGGGCCUUGACCUGCCUCAGGCCCCUUCCAAGGGCUGCACCAGGAAAAGAGGCAUAGGCACUUGGGAGCCUCCUGAGGAAGCUGGCCACUCCUGUGAUGGAGGCUACAGCCCCAGCCAGGCCCUGCCCACCCCACAAGCCAGGCACUAGGCUUCUUCCUCGGCAGAUACUGCUGGGCAGGCGUACGUAGAGCAGAGUGCGGCGUCCCGACACAGGGUGGCGUUACCUCAUGCAGUGCCCUGGUGGGAGCUGGUGGCCAGAGCAGGUGCUGCCCGGCCACAUGCGAACAUUCCAAAGACCUCAAGACCAAGCCCGCCCACCCGUCCACACACACACACUUUUGGGGAAUCGUUUCUAUAACCAGCCUUUGAGAGAGUCGUGGCUACCUGUUGCCCCUGGGCUGCAGAGGGUUCGGCCAGCCUGUCAGGGCCGGGGGGAGAAGCAGGCUCCGGCCCAGUCCCUCCUAAGCACUCUCAUCUUUUGUGUGUCUUGGUAACUUUAGAAACAGGCACACUGGACUCAGUGGCUACUGGUUUUGUCUCUUCACACACUGAAUUCUGGGCAGCGGAGCCCAAGGCCCAGUGGGCUCAGCCCUACAGCUGGCAGAAGCCCCUGGGAAGCCGCGGACGCACCUCUGAUGUGGUUAGCAAAACCCAGCAAGCCUGCUGAGGACUAGGGCGUGGCUGGUCCAGUCUGACAGCAGCAGCAGCUCAGACACAGACAGACCCUGUUUUAUAUUUAAGGAAAACACAGCCAGAGCCUGGACCUGUGUAAAGAACUUUGUGUUGUUCUAAUUUUGCUAAAAGAUUUCAAAUCCAGGGGAUUCCAUGUGCAAUGGAUGAAUGUAGACACAAAACAGCAAACUUGUAAGAUGUAAAGUGCUAAAAAUAUUUUUUUCCUUUUUCCUCUCCUUUUUUUUAAUCUGACCUGUGCCUGUACUGCGUCAACUGUUGGAAUAAAGGCUUUAUUUACUGCACUG
rnacentral:lncRNA from 1 species